rnacentral:rRNA from 1 species
GACGAACGCUGGCGGCGUGCCUAAUACAUGCAAGUCGAACGCAGUGGGGACGGGUGAGUAACACGUGGGUAACCUCCCAUCAGAGGGGAUAACACUUGGAAACAGGUGCUAAACCGAUACUGAUGGAUGGACCCGCGGUGCAUUAGCUAGUUGGUAAGGUAACGGCUCACCAAGGCCACGAUGCAUAGACGACCUGAGAGGGGAAUCGGCCACACGGGGACUGAGACGAGGCCCAGACUGCUACAGGAGGCAGCAGAAGGGAAUUAUCGGCAAUGGACGAAAGUCUGACCGAGCAACGCAGCGGGAGUGAAGAAGGUUUUCGGAUCGUAAAACUCUGUUGUUAGAGAAGCGGUAUCUAACCAGAAGGCAACGGCUAACUACGUGCCAGCAGCCGCGGUAAUUC